GGACGAACGCUGGCGGCGUGCCUAAUACAUGCAAGUCGAGCGGACCGAACGAGAGCUUGCUCUUGUUUGGUCAGCGGCGGACGGGUGAGUAACACGUGGGCAACCUGCCCGCAAGACCGGGAUAACUCCGGGAAACCGGAGCUAAUACCGGAUAACACCAAAGACCGCAUGGUCUUUGGUUGAAAGGCGGCUUCGGCUGCCACUUGCGGAUGGGCCCGCGGCGCAUUAGCUAGUUGGUGAGGUAACGGCUCACCAAGGCGACGAUGCGUAGCCGGCCUGAGAGGGUGACCGGCCACACUGGGACUGAGACACGGCCCAGACUCCUACGGGAGGCAGCAGUAGGGAAUCUUCCGCAAUGGACGAAAGUCUGACGGAGCGACGCCCGCGUGAGCGAAGAAGGCCUUCGGGUCGUAAAGCUCUGUUGUGAGGGACGAAGGAGCGCCGUUUGAAUAAAGCGGCGCGGUGACGGUACCUCACGAGAAAGCCCCGGCUUACUACGUGCCAGCAGCCGCGGUAAUACGUAGGGGGCGAGCGUUGUCCGGAAUUAUUGGGCGUAAAGCGCGCGCAGGCGGUCCUUUAAGUCUGAUGUGAAAGCCCACGGCUCAACCGUGGAGGGU
rnacentral:rRNA from 1 species